UGCCUGGCAAUAUUAUUUUAAAGGGUCAUUAAAACCUCUGGUUUCAGGGCUGAGACUAACCUUUAAUAAAAUAUGUACAGACACUUAUCUCCUGCUUUGGAGGGUAUAUUUGCCAAAAACACUGGUGCCUGCUAGCUGUUGUCAGAAAAGGAGAAGCCACAUUGCAUGGACUUUCUUUUACAGUGCUGUCUUGUCUGUACUCCUACUCCCUAAAUCUGAGCAGACAUUGAGAUAAAAUAUUUGGCAUUAUUCAAAAAGGAACGGGUAAAUCUGUAGAUAACAAAAAUAUCCCAUAUCUCAUUGAAAAGGAAAUCAAAACCUUUGCUUACAGGGUUGUGAUUCUGCACUAGAUAAAUCAAGAUCUUCAUAUAUAUACGUUAUUGUACAGCAGAAGACUCCCUAAAAGGCUCACAGAUGGUCUAUAUAUAGGCAGAGCAACUGUAACAGGACCAGUUUAAGAUUAGGACAUGGCUGGCUGAAGGGGAAUUUCAUUUUUUGCAUGACAUUCCCCAAACAUCAGAGAACAUAAAGGAAACACUAAUUUGUUUCCAUGGGCUUUGGCCCAUAAAAACUUGUGACCAGAAUCACCUGAACGAUGUUCCAGCCUAUUCUCCUUGCCAAUGCUGCAUGUCCCCUCUCACAGAGCUGUUGUGGUGACAGGCCUUACAUUAUUUUACAUUAUCUCUGAUGUCAUCUGAUUGGUCUAAUUGGAGCUGACUGGAUCUCUGAUCUAUUAGGACUACACAUCUCUGUCUUCACACCUCUCUUGGCCACAGUAGCUGCUAAAAAGAGCCUUAGGGACAACUGACAUUCUUGACUGCCAGCCCAAACAUCUCAGCUGGAAGGAAGACUAUUUCCCAAAUGACAUCCCCUCCCCCAUGAAGGCUUUUGGCAGUCACCCUGCUGCCAUCUCCAGUCAAGAACAUCUGGCUGUAGGAUCAGACAGCAGCAGAGCCCUCUGACCCCUGAUCCUGGCUGCCCUCUCCCUACCCCUAAAAGGGGGGCUGCCAUUGUCUACCGAAUUGCCUGGUGGCCUCAGGCUGAUUCCCAGGACCGUCCUCCCACCUGGUGCUGGCUGGAUGUAAGUCAGGGGCUGAGUGAGUGAGGCACAGAGCCAGCUACAAGGCAGCUUCCCCUGCAGGAUGCUCUGGGAUCCUCUCCAUACACGUUGGCAGGACCAGAAUCCCACUGCCCACGUUGCAUAGUGCCACAUGUCAGGUGGUCCCAGGCAGGGCUCUUGUCCUUGCCAAAGCAUCGUCAGCCACUUAGCACUUUGUAGUGCAAAGGUGACACUGGGCCAAAGUCUGCCCUUAGUGUGUUGGUGAAAAGGCAGAACAACUACACUGAAGUCACUGCAGUCCAUUUGUGUGUGACCAGGAAGGCGGUUUGCACACCUGCAUUUGUAUCCUUGCCACAGAGAAAUUUCUGGCUUUGCAUCCCCACCCAGAAAAACAAGAGACAAGGGAAUUAAUGUCAUUUUCCAGGUGGCUCACGAAAAGCAAAAUUCCCUCAUCCAGCUCAGCUUGUUAUCUGCUUGUUAUACAAGCUGCAUUUAAACAAUUAUAUUUAAAUAACCAAAAAGAAAAAAGAAAAAAUCUGCUCUCAGAGUCCUAGCCACAAAGUUUCCUCCAGAGCCCUUCCCAUUGUGUUUUGGAGGCCCUACACCUCCCCCUCCUCCUUGCCUUCGUUAACUGGAGUCCAUCUGCUGCGUCCAGCCUGCUGCAGCUUGGGGAAUCUCACGUCACUCCUGUCUCGGCUAGAGAUGAGCCUGAGCUGCAGAUUUUUGGACAGAGAUGCCUGUGUUUGUUUCCCAGUGCGGGAGGAGGGGGUGAGUCUUCUCAACUUUGCCCCAGUUCCUUAAAAACAAAAGGCCAGCAGUGAAAGGUGGCUGUGGCUGUGGGCCUGGUGAUGCCUAGCUUGGCUACCUCCUCCUCACCCCGCUCUGCACGGCCCCAUCCCAGCUCUCCAUGGUAAUGGGUUGCUGUGUCACAGCUGGGUAUCUGUGGCAUCACUGCUGCAACGCUUCCAUCACCAACGGGCAGCUCACAAUCAAGCCAGCAGCUCUCCUCCACCCCUCCCAGGACUGCAAACGCAGGGCAGCCUCUCUGCUGUCUGUCCUGCCUGCACUGCAUGGGAAAUGAAGAGACGGACAGACAGGCAGCCCCCCGCGACAGGGAAGAAAGGAAUCGAUAGUCCUCUGGAGGGCUGGUAUAAUUCAGCUGUAAACAUUUCAACCUUCCGAUCAAGAUGGGAACAGCAGUAUGUGACUCAGACACCACCAUCCUGAGCAGUCAAGGAAGACUUUAUGAGUUAGUGCAGCUGAGCUCCAUAAGCAAUGAGCAGUGUGUCAGCAGAAAGCAGGAUCAAAUCAGAAACAGCAAACAAAGGGACAGAGAAGAAAACGAUCACAUUUGUAACUGAUGCCAAGCUUUGGACUCUGAGCUGUCACCUCCAGCCUCCCAUGCGUGGUGGCAAUGCACCUGACGCUACCAAACAAAAGGACAGUCUGGCCUGUGCUCCCCUGCGCAGCACAGCGCACGUGCUGUAGGCGUGUAACACUCUGCAGAACCGCUAAGUAUUGGCAACGAGAGGGAACAUCUUGUCUUUUCCAGCUGUAACUCUUGCAAAUCCAUGGGAAACUUUCCUUCUCAAACAUCUCUCUUGGUCGGCUAUAGUUUUUCUUGCUGGCUGGUUUACAUUUCUGUGUGCAGAUAGUUCCAAAGCUGCUGCUUUAGCUACCCUCCAUUUUGGUAUCAAGCCACAUAUUUUAAACCCUCUAAUAUUUGUAAUUAAUAUAAACACGGGUCGCACAUGUAUUUAUAUGUGCUAAAUGCCAAAUUGGCGCGUGUCCUCCUGGCUCAGACGGGGCCUGGAGACUUCCCUGCGGGUGUCCCUGCGGGUUGAAGGGAUCGCUUCCAUCUCAAACAACUCCUGGACCGGCUCCUGGACAGGCUCCUGGACAGCCUCACAGCACCUGCGCUUUGUCAAAAAGGGACCUCAGGACCAUGUGCUGGCACUUAGGUGGUGGCUGUGAAGCGGGGAGCGAGCGCUGCCUCCUGUCCCCUGCCCCACCACUGCCUCAGUGCUGGCAGGUGGCGCAGCCUCAAGGCCUGCAGGCACUGGCCCACUGUAGGCCGGCUCCCAAGCCCCUGUCACCUCCCGUAUACAACAUCAAUGUGUGCCCAUUGCCAAGGCCACAACUGCUCUGCCUGCACUGGGGUGCAGCCUAACACCCCAAACAGAUAAGAAAUUGGCCCUAUCUCUUGCUGUCUCCCUCUUUCUCUGUCCUUCUCAGGCUUCCCCCACCAAAGUGCCCGAGCACCUCCCAGACCAAACAGCUGUCUGACAAGCCUUCUCCCCGGGGCUCCUAGGUUUUGGAUGCUUUCGGAUCCACUUCCUCAUUCUGCAUUGCUCCCCACAUAUCAUCUCUGAGCAGCAGACUCUCUGGAUCCGGCACUUGAGCACUGUGCUUGCAACAUAUUUGGAACCUGCGCUCCUAAGUCACAUGGAUGAAUUAUUGCUUUGCUUUUUCUGGGAAACUAAUACUAUCGAACGGUCACUCCAGUGUACGUCACAAGCACUACUGGCAGGGAAUAUGUAGGUACUUCAGAUUUAUGUGGCUGUAACUGAAAGCAGAACUUGGCCAUAUUCUGCCUGACUAAUGAAAAGACAUAGCCACAAAGGGCUUUUGUAUGAACCUGGCUCCUAGAAGUUAUGGCAAUAAAAGAAGCAAUGCUAUCAUUUGUUAAUUCUAAUUAUUUCAAGAGUCAGCCAUGGAAGGCUGUUCUUAAAGGGAUGUGCUGAACAAAAAUGUAUAAAUAGAAAAUAGCAGUUCUUUUACCAGCAGAAUAAGGACAAUAU